GUUCUUGCUACGGCAGAACAUAUACUAAAAUUGGAACGAUACAGAGAAGAUUAGCAUGGCCCCUGCGCAAGGAAGGCACGCAAACCGCUACGACAGUUGACUCACGUCAUU
rfam:Glossina palpalis gambiensis isolate 146720 unplaced genomic scaffold Scaffold26, whole genome shotgun sequence.